GUACGUCGUGAGACAGUACGGUCCCUAUCUUCUAUGGGAAAUUAGAGUCGAAAAAGGAUCUGUCCUUUGUACGCAAGGAUUUGGAUGGACUAACCUCUUGUUUACCUGUUGUUUAUUUUUAAAGCUAAGAUUAAUUUCGCAGUUUUGUAAUUCAUAUGAAAAAAUAACUAAUUUGAAUUAUAUAAAUAGGCACGGCAGGAAAGCUACGUUGGGAAUGGAGAAAGGCUGAAAGCAUCUAAAGCCUGAAAUCACCCU
rnacentral:rRNA from 1 species